rnacentral:rRNA from 1 species
GACGAACGCUGGCGGCGUGCCUAAUACAUGCAAGUAGAACGCUGAAGGAGGAGCUUGCUUCUCUGGAUGAGUUGCGAACGGGUGAGUAACGCGUAGGUAACCUGCCUGGUAGCGGGGGAUAACUAUUGGAAACGAUAGCUAAUACCGCAUAAGAGUAGAUGUUGCAUGACAUUUACUUAAAAGGUGCAAUUGCAUCACUACCAGAUGGACCUGCGUUGUAUUAGCUAGUUGGUGAGGUAAUGGCUCACCAAGGCAACGAUACAUAGCCGACCUGAGAGGGUGAUCGGCCACACUGGGACUGAGACACGGCCCAGACUCCUACGGGAGGCAGCAGUAGGGAAUCUUCGGCAAUGGACGGAAGUCUGACCGAGCAACGCCGCGUGAGUGAAGAAGGUUUUCGGAUCGUAAAGCUCUGUUGUAAGAGAAGAACGAGUGUGAGAGUGGAAAGUUCACACUGUGACGGUAUCUUACCAGAAAGGGACGGCUAACUACGUG